GAGAGAGAGAGAGAGAGGAACGAAAGCAAAAGCUCAGGACAGCAAUCGAAAGGAACGGAACUGUAACACUGGAGACUGCAGAUAUUUUUUUACUAUUGUGUUGGGGUUUUUGGGGUUCGGGUUCGCGUGGCGGGGGCAAGAGCGCGACAUGGACGGCAAACGGCAACGGCAACGACGAUGACAUUAUUUUAUUUAUGCUGUGAUAGUGAAAUAACAACACCAACAACAAGAACAACACCAAAGUCACGAAUCAAACGCAAUAUUUUCGCAGAGCAGAGAGAAGGAAAACCAAUUAAAUGAAUUAAAUUAAACUAGUAAAACCAAACCAAACCAACAAAAAGCUUUAACCAAAAAAAAAAACACCAAGCAAAACGUUGCAAAUAAUUAUUAAUGAUAAAACAUAAAUGAAUAGUGAAAACCAAGCACCAAUUAGAGCAUAACCUACAAAUGAUAGUCAAUAUGUUUAGCUAGUUACAAUUUAUAUACAAACAUAGUACAUAGAUACUACUAAUUAGUGGCUUUAAACGAAACACCAAACCAAGCAACCAACCGCAAGGAAAAACCAAUACUUAUGUAGUUCAAUUGUAUAGAACGAAUAACUAACUAUAACUAACGAAUAACGAUUAGGGAAUCUAGACACACUACUGAUAAGGAUAGCGAAAAUAUAAAGCUUAUUUGCGAAUAGAAAUAGAGAAUAAUAAUAGCAACGCCCCCCCUCCACGGCGCUGAAAGCCCGACAACCAGAAAUUCAUUCAGAAAACGUGCCACACAAACAGCCGGACGGGACGGUUAGAAAGGCAAAUGUCAAAGUCAUAAAGAGAGAAAGAACGCGAAAGAAAGAGAGAGAACGGAAAGAGAGAGAGAGAGAGAGCGUGAAAGCACAACGGAAUUUAAAAAAGCUCAAAGACAUCAAUCAAAUGUUACAACCAUAAGGACAUCGAGGAAAGCUCAGGAUUAAAGCUUGUCCCAAGACACAAGCCCCACUCCAAAAUGGCCGCAACAGCAGCAACGGGGAUAACGGGAACGGGAACGGCUACAGCAACACACCACGACGAUGCCAGCAGCAUGAGCGACGACGUCUUCGAAGAUGUGGAGACCACACAGGCCCGCAUCGAGGAGUUGCGACGCCGGCCCUUUGGCGAUGGCUGUUACAACCCCCCCGCCGCACCCGUCUCAAUAUCAGCCACAGUGGCAGCUUCCACAUCCGCAACAACGACGCAGCAGCAGCAGCAUCAUCAUCAUCACCAUCAUCAGUAUCCGCAUCAUCAUCAAAGCCAACAGAGCCUCACGGGCAGCAGCCAUCAUUAUCAUGACGACGCCAUUAUGGCGCCCGUGCAGCGGACGGCCACCGGAUAUCCGGGCUAUCGACCCUCACGAGAAGCUCUUCAGAUGUACGCCUACGGCACAGGAGAUGAUUACGACGAUUACGACGAUGGCUGGCGUUCAUAUCGUUACGACGAGGUGGACAUGCACCAAGCACAGCCGACGGCCAAUUUGCAACCUUUCGACGACACGGUCAAUCACAAGACGAUACUGCUGGGGGACUCUGGCGUGGGCAAGACAUCCUUCCUGGUCAAAUACAAUACGGGCGAAUUUCGGCUGGGCUCCUUCUCGGCGACGGUGGGCAUUGCUCUGACGGGCGCUCCACCCACACCCCCGCCCCACCGCCGCUCGCAUCACGUUUCUAGGCCAGGGCUACUGCUGCUGCUGCCAAACCAAACCCGAAGCCAGCCGAAGCAAGCGAAGGUCUCGGUCAAGGUGUGUAUUGAAAUCAGGUGAAACAUUCCCAUGGCCAUGCUCUCAUUCGCUCUGCGUGUGCCCUGCGUUGGAAACAACACAUGAUGCCUUCCAGAGAGCGCUCUCUGGGCAUGCCUCACCUUCGUUUAAUACACUUUGGUAGCGGGCUCGAGCUCAGGCUCCCCAGCUUUUUGCUCCUUUUUUUGGCGUCGUCGGGCUCCAUUCAGUCUAGCAUUGAGCUCUGCUGCGAACGGACGCUUCGAUAGGCAUCAACGGGCGCGCGAUCCCAAGCUCUCUCUCCAUUCAGUUUUUUCUGUAGAAACUGUAGCUCCAGCUGCUACGCUUCAGCCAAAAAUACAUUUUGCUGACUGAGAAACCAACUUUAAAAACAAAGUGGUCGUCGUCGAUGGCACACGUGUAAAGCUACAAAUCUGGGACACGGCUGGACAGGAGCGUUUCCGCAGCGUUACACACGCC
rnacentral:misc_RNA from 1 species